rnacentral:tRNA from 1 species
GGUAGGUUGGCAGAGUGGUUUAUUGCACCGGACUGAAAAUCUGGCGAGGAGUCGCUUCCUCCAAGGGUUCAAAUCCCUUACCUACCGCCA